GAUGAACGCUGGCGGCGUGCCUAAUACAUGCAAGUCGAGCGAACGGACGAGAAGCUUGCUUCUCUGAUGUUAGCGGCGGACGGGUGAGUAACACGUGGAUAACCUACCUAUAAGACUGGGAUAACUUCGGGAAACCGGAGCUAAUACCGGAUAAUAUUUUGAACCGCAUGGUUCAAAAGUGAAAGACGGUCUUGCUGUCACUUAUAGAUGGAUCCGCGCUGCAUUAGCUAGUUGGUAAGGUAACGGCUUACCAAGGCAACGAUGCAUAGCCGACCUGAGAGGGUGAUCGGCCACACUGGAACGUGGACACGGUCCAUACUCCUACGGGAGGCAGCAGUAGGGAAUCUUCCGCAGUGGGCGAAAGCCUGACGGAGCAACGCCGCGUGAGUGAUGAAGGUCUUCGGAUCGUAAAACUCUGUUAUUAGGGAAGAACAUAUGUGUAAGUAACUGUGCACAUCUUGACGGUACCUAAUCAGAAAGCCACGGCUAACUACGUG
rnacentral:rRNA from 1 species